rnacentral:rRNA from 1 species
GAUGAACGCUGGCGGCGUGCCUAACACAUGCAAGUCGAACGAACUCGAUUCUUCGGAUGAAGAGUUAGUGGCGUACGGGUGAGUAACACGUGGGUGACCUGCCCUGGAGUGGGGGAUAACCUCUCGAAAGAGAAGCUAAUACCGCAUACGCUCAGCCAUUCAGUUGGUUGAGUAAAGCUCCGGCGCUCCAGGAGGGGCCUGCGUCCGAUUAGCUAGUUGGUGAGGUAAUGGCUCACCAAGGCGAUGAUCGGUAGCUGGUCUGAGAGGACGAUCAGCCACACUGGCACUGACACACGGGCCAGACUCCUACGGGAGGCAGCAGUGAGGAAUAUUGCGCAAUGGGCGAAAGCCUGACGCAGCAACGCCGCGUGGAGGAUGAAGGCCUUCGGGUCGUAAACUCCUUUUCUGGGAGAAGAGACAAGGACGGUAUCCUAGGAAUAAGUCUCGGCUAACUACGUG